rnacentral:rRNA from 1 species
CAUGAAGUACUCUACACCCACUAUCCGCCCGGGAACUACGAGCACCAGCUUAAAACCCAAAGGACUUGGCGGUGCUUUAGACCCACCUAUGUUGUAAUGUUCUAGAACCGAUAACCCCCGUUGCAACCUCACCCUCUCUUGUUUACCCCGACUAUAUACCGCCGUCGUCAGCUUACCCUGUGAAGGCCCUAUAGUAAGCAAACUUGGACAGCCCAAACGUCAGGUAGCAGGUGUCGCGUAUGAGAUGGGCAGAAACUGGGUACAUCAUAUCUCUAUCACACAGUACACGANCGAUGUNAUGANAUAUACACCUGAAGUAGUAUUUAGUAGUAAGU